rnacentral:rRNA from 1 species
UACGAAGGGGGCUAGCGUUGUUCGGAAUUACUGGGCGUAAAGCGCGUGUAGGCGGGUCUUUAAGUCAGGGGGGAAAUGCCAAGGCUCAACCUCGGAACUGCCUUCGAUACUGCGGGUCUCGAGUCCGGGAGAGGUGAGUGGAAUUCCUAGUGUAGAGGUGAAAUUCGUAGAUAUUAGGAAGAACACCAGUGGCGAAGGCGGCUCACUGGCCCGGUACUGACGCUGAGGCGCGAAAGCGUGGGGAGCAAACAGG